CCUCAGCGACGGACCGGGCC
rnacentral:sRNA from 1 species